GUGCGGGGAUGAUUCUGACCCUUGAACUCUCUCUUCACUCAGGACAAGCUGAUCGAGUACU
ensembl:snoRNA SNORD26 Small nucleolar RNA SNORD26